UACGGAAGGCAGCAGUGGGGAAUAUUGCACAAUGGGCGCAAGCCUGAUGCAGCCAUGCCGCGUGUAUGAAGAAGGCCUUCGGGUUGUAAAGUACUUUCAGUCGUGAGGAAGGUGUUAAGGUUAAUAACCUUAGCAAUUGACGUUAGCGACAGAAGAAGCACCGGCUAACUCCGUGCCAGCAGCCGCGGUAAUACGGAGGGUGCGAGCGUUAAUCGGAAUUACUGGGCGUAAAGGGCACGCAGGCGGUUAAUUAAGUUGGAUGUGAAAUCCCCGGGCUUAACCUGGGAAUGGCAUUCAAGACUGGUUAGCUAGAGUCUUGUAGAGGGGGUAGAAUUCCAUGUGUAGCGGUGAAAUGCGUAGAGAUGUGGAGGAAUACCGGGUGGCGAAGGCGGCCCCUGGGACAAAGGCUGACGCUCAUGUGCGAAAGCGUGGGGAGCAAACGAGGAUUAGAUACC
rnacentral:rRNA from 1 species